AACGAACGCUGGCGGCGUGCCUAACACAUGCAAGUCGAGCGCGAAAGCUCCUUCGGGAGCCUUAAAGCGGCAGACGGGUGAGUAACACGUGGGUAACCUGUCCCUGAGUGGGGGAUAACUACUCGAAAGGGUGGCUAAUACCGCAUAAGACCACGGCCUUGCGGGGCUGGGGUCAAAGGCGCAAGCCGCUUAGGGAGGGGCCCGCGGCCGAUUAGCUAGUUGGCAGGGUAAUGGCCUACCAAGGCGACGAUCGGUAGCUGGUCUGAGAGGAUGAUCAGCCACACUGGUACUGAGACACGGACCAGACUCCUACGGGAGGCAGCAGUGGGGAAUAUUGCGCAAUGGGCGAAAGCCUGACGCAGCAACGCCGCGUGGGUGAUGAAGGCCUUCGGGUCGUAAAGCCCUGUCAGAUGGGACGAAGCAAGUGACGGUACCAUCGAAGGAAGCACCGGCUAACUCCGUGCCAGCAGCCGCGGUAAUACGGAGGGUGCAAGCGUUGUUCGGAAUCACUGGGCGUAAAGGGCGCGUAGGCGGUCCCAAAAGUCUGAUGUGAAAGCCCGGGGCUCAACUCCGGAAGUGCAUUGGAAACUGUGGGACUUGAGUUCGGGAGAGGAAGGCAGAAUUCCCGGUGUAGGGUUGAAAUCCGUAGAUAUCGGGA
rnacentral:rRNA from 1 species